rnacentral:lncRNA from 1 species
ACUCAGCACUGUCCCUGAGCUCUGUACAGGUUCCACUUCCCAAACCCCCCCAACGCAAGGCAAGGCCUCUGUUCUCACCUUUGCAUGCCCUGGGGUGCCUGGUACUGAGCAUGAUGCACGCUGGGAGCCUCGGGAAGAAGAGUGGUGGGGCCUCCUGGGAGCUGGGCAUGGGGCUCCCCAUCAGUUCCAGCUCUGACCUCUCUGGGCUGUUCAGGCAAAGGCAGCAGUUGCUAAUGAAGACACUGGAGGACAGCGUGGCUUAGUCAGCACAGGAAGGAAAUGACUUAGUGCAGCCGGGUGCUGGCAGGCGACCACAGCAGGGGCAGGCAGCCCAUAAGACCAGCACAGCCAGGAGGCCACACUCCCCCGCCCCACCCUGGGCUUGCCUUCUUUGCCCCUCUCCCUUCACCACCCUCCACAGCCAAUUUGCUUGUCAUCACCCACCUUUUUGUGUUUAACCCGUCAGCUCUUCCUACCUCAUUCACUAUUUUUUUUUGUUUGUUUUAAUUAAGGUCGAAUGCAUGUCACACAAAGUUAACCAUUUUAAGGUGAACAGUUUCAGGGGCAUUGACAAUGUCGUGCAGCCACCACCUCUGUCUCAUUCCAAAACAUUUUCAUCGCUGCAAAGUAAAACCUGGACCCACUGAGCAGUUCCUCCUCACUCCCCCAUCCCUACCCCUACCAAUCUACUUUCUGUGUCUAUGGAUUCACUGAUUCUAGAUACUUCAUAUAAACGGAGUCAUAAAAUA